rnacentral:lncRNA from 1 species
GGGAGUAACCUAGAAUGAUCUAUGUAGUGAUGAUGGUUUGGGGCUAGAGACAUAAUUAUGAACUCAUGGUUAGUUUAAUAUAGAUACAGGUUUUUGCAUAUGGAAAUAUUUAUGUCUAUUCAGGGUUUUUUUUCCUUACUGUGUCAGCUAGGAGGGCACACAGAAGCAAUGACACCCAUAUAGCAAUGAGCACACAUUGCCUAGACCUUGAAUUCUGAUCUUAUUCCCCAGGAAGAGGAUCCUUAGAGAAAUGGCUGAUUCUAGGACUGGAGCAUCUUAUAGUGUCAGAAAGUAAGGAAGUGCUCAAGACUGAAACAAUACUCAUGAUGAUGAGGGUGUGUCAAGAGGACACGGGAGAUUAACUGGAAAGGGUUCUAAAGGAAAUCUGAGUCAAUAAACUAUUGAAUAAAUAAAUGGCAGAGAACAGUUAAAUCUCCCAUGUAGAAGAAUUCCAAAUAAGUUGUGUAGAUACUCUGCCCUCUGGGAGCACAAGCCCCUGCUCCCUAAGUGGAGGCCAUACUUAGUCCCUUCCUUCCAAGAGGGGACAGUGUAGAAAGGGGGAGAGCAAGCAGGUGGAGAAACCUGACAAACGAGCAGCGAGGUGACCCAGAUCCGUAUCAGUGAGGAGGCCUGGCUCGGGAGUAGCCACCCUUAGCAGUGAUGUGAUGGGAAUGGCAUGUUACCUUCCCCAAACACCGCCUUCAUCUGCUCAUGAGAAAAACCUCGGGCAAAUCACAACUGUGAGACACAUCCUACAAAAUACCUGACCGGUAGGUCAAGGUCCUCAACACAGAGAUGGAGAAAUGGUCGCAGCCGCGGGGACCUAACUGCAUUGAAUGUGGCAUCCUCAAUGGGAUUCUAGGACGGAAAAAGGACAUUCAGAAAAAGACCAAAGAAACCUUAAUAAAGCAUGGGCUUUGGCUAAUAAUAGUCAGUAUUGGCUCAAACUAUGGCAAAUGUACCACAAUAAUAUAAGACAAUUAUAGUGAAGCAGGGAUUGGUGUGGGAACUCUCUGUACUAUCGUGGCCAUUUUUUGGUGGAUCUAAAGCUAUUCUAACAUUCUGUAAAUCCGGAACUAUUCUAAAAUUUUUUAAUUUUAAAGCAAAAUGUAAAACGCAUUCAGUUAAGGAAAAUAAUACCUUAGGAAAUAACAUAAAUAAGAGAUACAUACAAAACCCAAUGGUUGUCUAUAAGGAAAGAGAAUGAAAGUGUAGGAUGUAGAUGGAUGGCGGGGAAGGAGCCCAGGAGGGAGAGAGGAAAAGACUUUCAGGAACCAGUGAGGAUGAUUUUCUGUGAACCAGUAAUUGAGGUAAAUCUAAGCUUCUGACCAGAGAUCUAUAAAAGGGGAAAAAAAUAAUAAUAUACCCCAUUCCAGUCCCAUGAUAUCAAUGCUUCUGCUGCAUCACGGGUCCAAUAUUUGUAUUAUAUUUACCUGUGCUUCAUUCUUUUGAAAGAAUCACCUUCAGAGCAAUGGCUUCUCCUGCUCACCUUCUACAUUGAAGCCCAAGGGCAUUGCUCAUAUCAAGUAGGAAACUGGGUACCUUCUCUGUACCCUUGCAGGUCAAGAACCCUCUCUAAUGAGGGACUUUGAUAGAGCAAAAUAGGUGUAUAUGCACGGGUAUGUAAGUAUUAUCUUUGUGGCUCUUAAAUUCCUUUAAUUUCCUUAUAGUCGUAGUGGUCUGCGAGAUAUUUGGAGAAAAUAUUAAUAAGAGAAAAUGGACUUGCACUUGGGAGUUGGAGAGAUCUGGGUUCAGAUCUAGGGUAGAAGUUAGGCUUAAGCAAAUGACUUAAUUCUUUCGGUAUUUCAGUUCUCUUAUCUGGAAAAACUGUCAUACUGGAGGUAAAGUGUGUGUAUACCUAGAACUGGGCUUUAUCUACAGCGGUGCUCAAUUUUCCUUGACUUUCCCACUGUUACCUUUAGAUACUGAGAUAAGUGAUGCUAUCUUAGAGGAAAAUGGGAAAAUUGCAGACCGAAAUAUCUACCUGCUUAGCUAGUUUCAUGGAUGUGCUCUCUGGUAUUUGGUUCUUAGGUAAAGGUUAUCUUCCAGUGAGGGUAAUUCAGGGGGCUGUGUGCCCAUGCCUUGUGAAUCAGGAGGUGAAAGGACUGAUCCUUUGUCUAUCAUCCACUGAGUUUGUAAUCUAGGGACACUCACCUCCUUUUCUCUGGACUCAGUUUUCUCACUUUUAAAUGUUACUAGUUGACCUCCCAGAAGCCUCAUGAGGAAGCCCUCUCAAGAAAGGAAAACCAAAAUUGUUCUUUGUUUCCAUAAACAUUGCCCUCACCCCUAGGUGGGCCUCUGUGCCCUUUGCUGAGAUGUGGUUCCCUUAUUGGUGGAAGCUGAUGUAGCUUUUAGGAACUUUUAAAUAUGUGCCCAUUAGUAAAAUUAUCAGGGACUCAGAUAUGUUUUAGAACCAGUUGAAACUAAAAGCAUGGUUUCGAAGGUCCCUACCAGUUCUAAUAUCCCAUUUCUUGUUGGAGUAUGAGAUGACUUUUUUCCAUAAGACCUCCCCCAUCCAGUCACUGCACACAAAAUUAUGGGGGGAAAGUGUCUGCUGAAAUGAAAGGACUUCAGGUGGGUACAAAGGUGAGAACAAGAAAAAAUUCACAAGGCAAGGCCAUUUUUGAGUCCUCCAAAUGGAUAUUUCAUUUGGCUUCAUAUGAAGAUCCAACUCGAUUUAAUUCCAGAAUAUUCUACUGAGCACCCACCAUGACCCAGACACUCUGUCUUCAGUCCAGGAGUAACAAGGAGUGUUUGAAAGCGUAAAUCACAGGAAUUACGAGAUCAAGUUUGCAUUUGAGAGAGAUCACCGCAGGGAGUGGAGAAAGUGGAAAGGCGGCAAGACCAUGGGGAAGGUUGAGGAGGUUCUUGAAAAAGUCCAGAGAAAAUGCGACGGCUUUCUGUGUCAGCCUGGGCGGAAGAGACUGGACCUGGGUGGUUCUGAGGGAGAUACAGGAAGAAAGGAAACCCAAGCUUCGUGACUGGAUAAAAGACACAUGUACAAUGAGUUUGUUGCAUUUGUAAUACGAGAUGUACAGGGUUGGAGGGCGGGGACCGGAAUGCAAACUAGGAGGUGCCUCUGAGAAGCAGAUCCUCUUCCUCGGACUGGCUGAGGAUGGGGUUUUCCUUGACUCCUCUUCAUAAAUCUGCACCGGAGAAAAACAAGAGGCCAGACAAGAAGAUGCAUGUCUGCGGUAAAAGGCAAAACAUGUUUGGCCCUCACAGGGUUGGGGUGGGGGGAGGAAGAGGGGAGAAGGAAUGUUCUGGAGCCAUCUGCCCCGGAGGAGGUGAGGACUGGUUUGUGAGGCUGCCAGUAUCUGCAGCGAGAUGUUAAUGGGGGUUAUCAGCUGUCCCCGAAACAAAGGCAGGGAGGGUGCUGGCAGCCCCGGAGCCCCAGCCAGCCAAGGCCUGUGCGCACGCCCGCCCGCGUGUGCACGUCCCAGAAGAAACACGGGGCUUGCUGCAGACAGACGUCCUGUGAGAACAAAGACUCUGGGCAUGGCCCCCUUUGAGCACCAGCUACUCAAGACGGACACCUUUCCCCGGCCCUUGGCACGUCUCAGCAGGGGCCCACCUGCAGACAGCCCCUCCUACUCCUUUUGCCUCCGGCAGAAAAAAGUGGAUCCCUUUUAUCCCAAAGAGAAGGUCCCCCCCACCAUGGAAAUCCUGCACCCCAAUCAAAUACACCGUCACGCAGAGUCCCAGAAGCCUUCUCAGCAUUAAAGGCAGGUCAGUUUUCUUGUCCUUGUCAAUUCACAUUUCCAAACCAGGGCUUGUAUUUAAGCACAUUCCUCUUAAAUGAGCUCUUGUCGGAAGAGCAGAUCCUGGGACAUGCUCUGUACAUGCGUCCAGAGUGGACACCCAACAGCAUCUCUCAAGUACUUUGGCAUUUUGCCCUGUUUGAUGCCAUCAGAAGGGGGUCCAGGAAUCAACUUGAUGUUCCUGAUCGCCCAGAAACUAUCUGACCUCUGGAGGUCUUGGUAGCAGAUACCAUAAACGUAUGAAUUUGCAAUGAGACUGACGUGGGCUGAGUCCUGGCUUUUCCACUGACCUUGAGCCUCUGCCUUAAUGUCUCUGCUUCAGUUUCCUCAUCUGUAAUCUGGGAAUAAUAACCAUGAGUCGGCUCUAUGAGCCCUAUUUUACAGAUGGGGAAAACUGAGACACAAAGAGAAGACCUGAUUGUUCCCAAAUGAAGCAACGCAUGAAAAGCAUAGUCGGAAAGUGAACCCAGGCAGUCUGGCCCCUUCCUGCCUUGCCUGCCACACUUCAAAUUUCUUCUUUAACUUUCAAAGCAGCUCUGCUCAUGGGAACUGGAACAAGUUACUUAAGCCCCCUCAGUCUCUUUGCCUCAAGAGAAAAUAGGGUUUUCUCAUCACAGACGUCAUAGAAUGCUAGGGCAGUAACAGGCAUUCAGGUAACAGGGUUCGCAGAGUGCCUGCACUGUUGUGAGCACAGCAAGAGAGGCUGUAGUCACUUCAGCGCCAACACUAAUCAGGUUGUUACCAUCACAACACGCACUAUACUUGUAAUUAUUUGUCUCAGUGUUUCUGAUUUCUUUGAACUACAUGUUCAAGGACAGAAUCUGCCUCUUCCUUAUUUGCCCCAGGAGCCACAGCAUUUGGCAACUCACACAGCCCCAGAACGUGCUGUGCCUUUCCGUGAUAUCCACCGAUGAAUGAAUUGACGACUGCGUGCCGCCUCUGUCUUGGAUUGCUGUAAGAAUUAAAUGAGAUAAUGGAUGUACAAAGAGCUAGUACAAGGUUUGGCUUGAGAAUUCCACCCAAUUAGCGUUAGACCUUCCCCCUUUGCAACCAGACAUGACUAUCUGAGAUAAACACCCAGAAUCACAUGAUCCAGAGAGUAACAAACAGAAGGCCUGGGCUGUUUUGACCAACACCAACAUCCCAGACGUAAUCCACAUACCACGUGACCUGGGCAGGUGCUCGGAAGAGGAACACCAGCUGGGCUCCACCUUGAUAGGCAGCACUACCGCACAUCAUGGGUGAACCACACUGGGCACGUUUGGAAGGCUCAAGAGCAGAAAAGGGAAGGCACUUGACGUCCUGAUUGAUUAAAGCUACUAACUGGGUCCAUGCACGGUACAAGCACCGGCAGCUCUUGCUGAUUGGGUACCAGGGAAGAGUUUGGCAGAGAUGAGUGAAACUACAGCCAAUCCACCCGUGAGCCAAGGUGCUGCAUCCAUAAAGGGAUGAUUGAAUUGACUGCAUUUGGAAAUAGAAGUUGCUGAUGGUGUUCAGAAACUCUAAGUAGAAAUAGUUGUUCAGAAAUGAAAUAAAAGCAUAAUAGACAGGUGGGCAAAAAAGUCUCUUCACACUUGAAACAAUGCAGAAAAUCUAAUAACUAAAAUCAUAAAAUCAAAAGGCAGCAGGCAAUGUGCAUCACACAGGCUUCCCCUCUAGUCUUGGCUCUGCCACCUGGGACCUGAGGCAAGUCAACUAGCACCUCUGAGCAACUAUUUCCUCUUCUGCAAAAUGGAGAAUACCUACUUUGCAGAGGUAUGGGAAAGCUUCCGUUAAUAAUCUAUGUAAAGGACUGGCAAGUGGUUGAUCUGCUGCCCUGACCACCACGACCUAAAUUAGCCACCCUGAUUAGAUGAGCCAGCCCACCUGGAAUCCGUGCACUCCUCUCUUCCCUCUGAAGUGGCUCUGGUGGUUGUGUACCAUGUUGUGUUGUGAGUCUAUUAAUAUAACUCACCCAGGGCUGGUAACAGGACAAGUGGCAAAUAAGGACUUAGAGGUGGUAGGGACCUGGAUCAUUCUCAAAUAAGAUAAGCCACUGCAGAAAUAAAUGACAGGGCAGUGGCUGGAAUGGAGGAGGGAGAGGGGGGCUGGCAUGAACCUAGAAGGCCAGGAAAGGGCAAAUUCUGAGAAAAGAGGCAACAGGAAGAGCUCUAGGAGAGAGCUGAAGCCCAGCAGUCUAGGAGAGAGCUGAAGCCCAGCAGUGGCCCACAUGAGAGAGAGAGAGCAGCUAAGUGAUGAUGCAUCACCCGCUCCGCUGAUUCUCUACCUGCCUAGCGUGAAUUAUGAAGGCCAAGCAUGGUGGAGGCAGCAGCCAAUGAGAGGCAAGCUAAGUCAUGGCUGGCAGCCCUGGACCAUCUCGGGAAGAGGAGGAGCAGAUACCACAGGAGGUGGGAAGUGACCCUAGGCUGGAAAUGGGGCUGGUUGAAUAUCCAUGUAAUAGGAACCUUAGCCACCAGGGUACCCUACCUCAUCAGAUACCCAGGGCAGGAGACAGAGUGGGUCACUGGUGACUCAGGAAAUCUCUUGACUCACUUUUAUUUAACUUCCUAUUUAAUUCCUUUUUAAUUUAUGCCAGCAGAACUAAAAAUCUUACAAUAAAUUUCUGCUAUACACAAUGCUAAUGAGAGCUGGUAUGUAACUAUGCCAGAGUAUUUUUUUUUCUUUAUUUAAAGCCAUAAAUUACUUUUUAAGUCAAACUUUACUGGAAAAAAA